AACGAACGCUGGCGGCAUGCCUAACACAUGCAAGUCGAACGAGACCUUCGGGUCUAGUGGCGCACGGGUGCGUAACGCGUGGGAACCGGCCCUUAGGUUCGGAAUAAUUCCCCGAAGGGGUGGCUAAUACCGGAUAAUUUCUUCGAACCAAGGAUUUAUCGCCUUGGGAUGGGCCCGCGUUGGAUUAGCUAGUUGGUAGGGUAAAAGCCUACCAAGGCGACGAUCCAUAGCUGGUCUGAGAGGAUGAUCAGCCACACUGGGACUGAGACACGGCCCAGACUCCUACGGGAGGCAGCAGUGGGGAAUAUUGGACAAUGGGCGAAAGCCUGAUCCAGCAAUGCCGCGUGAGUGAUGAAGGCCUUAGGGUUGUAAAGCUCUUUUACCCGGGAUGAUAAUGACAGUACCGGGAGAAUAAGCUCCGGCUAACUCCGUG
rnacentral:rRNA from 1 species